CGCUUCAGUUGCUCCGGUUCCAGGAAGGAACGCUUCUGCGAUUCAAGUGGCAGGAACCCUGCAGGGAACAUGGGUUUGUGGACAUUACUGGAGGGCUGUCUUCUAAUGCCCUAGCAAUAUUAAAUGAAGACCGGUUCCUUGCACCAAGAGGUUGGAGCUUCUCUGAGCUAUCCGGAGGUCGAACAAAGUCUUUCAAGGGGCAGCUUAUGGGGCUUAUUUAUACAACCCAG
rnacentral:misc_RNA from 1 species